rnacentral:lncRNA from 1 species
CUUCAGGAGUGAAGCUGCAGACCUUCGCGUGAUGGAGGUUGAGAAGUCCAACUUCAAGGCACCACAUCUGGUGAGAGCCUUCAUUCCGAUGACAGCCUUCAUGCUGGUAAGAUUUUCUUCAGAGUUCCAAGGUGGUGCACGGCAUCACAUGGCGAAGGAAAUGAGCGUGCUAGCUCAGGUGUCUCUUCCUCUUCUUAUAAAGCCACCAGUCCCACUCCUGUGCUAGUAACUCUUUAAUCCAUCAACCCAUUAAUCCAUGAAUAGAUUAACCCAUGAGGCCUCUGCCCUCAGGACCCAAUCACCUCUUAAAGGCCUGACCUGUCAAUAUUGCCAUACUGGGGACUCAGUUUCAACAUGAGUUUUGAAAGGGACAAACAUUCAAUCCAUAGUAACAUGAGAGCUUUUCAAAGCCCUUCUUUGUUGAAGUAUGUCCUUCUCCAGCCUCUUUUUUCCCAGGCUUUUUGUUUUUUCUAUUGCUUGUGCAGCUGUUAUCCUUUGCUACAGGUGGCAAUAGCUAAUACAUUUGCCUUUAAAUUUGUUUGACAAACACCACCCUGGAAGUAGCCUCAACUCUGGGGAAGCUCCAAGACAGGUAAAAUACAGGUAAGCCCUUGAGCAGAUCCUUCAGGAAGCUACCAUAUGGGUCAAAACACAGAACCACAAUUCUUUAAUUCUUUGAGAAUAAGGUCUGUAUUGUUCCCUCUGUUACCAGCAACCUGCAGCAGGAAAAUGGGCUUCAGUUUUCAAGUCUGCAGCUGAGUUGGGAAGUUGCGGACAGUAACCAGGAUCGCUGUCCUUAUAAGAAGUGGAAGAAACAUCAGAGAGCUCUCCCUCUCCACACACACAGAGGAAAGGCCACAUGGGGACAAGAGAGGGCAACUGUCUACAAAUCUGGAAGAGAGACUUCAGAAGAAACCAGCACUGAUGGCAUCUGAUCUUGGACUUCCAGCCUCUGGAUCUAUCUGCCAGAGCCUGAUCUCAUACACACUGAUGUGGUACAGGAAAUGCCACCUGAAAAUAUGGUACCUUGGCAUUUGAGGAAACAGUAGAAGGAGGUCAUAGAAACUAGAAAGAAUUCCUCCUUGCUCUUUGUCCCCCAAAGGAGCCAUAAAACCUGGGCCGAGUUUCUUCUGAAAAUAAGUUAUAAGAUCCUUAUUCCAGAGGGGUCCUGCCCUGUGCCUGGAGGAAAAGAAUGAAGACACAGAGAUGCCUUGAAGAAUCUGAACAAACAGCCCUUGCUAAGUUCCCCCCAGUUUAUUGACAUUAGAUUAGACCUUUUGUCCUCCAAUUAUACUUCUGUGUUCCUGAAAAUACACAUUUUCCCGUUUUUUCUUUUGUUUGCUUUUUUUGAUCUUCAUUUCUGAAGAUUCCCAUGUCAUGUAAAAUAUAUGUUAAACAAAUGUG